AACGAACGUUAGCGGCGCGCCUAACACAUGCAAGUCGAGCGAGAAGGAAGCAAUUCCUGUAAAGCGGCGCACGGGUGAGUAACACGUAGGUAAUCUACCUCGAAGUGGUGGAUAACCUUCCGAAAGGAGGGCUAAUACAGCAUGAGACCACGGUUUCGAAAGAGAUUGAGGUCAAAGCGGGCCACUAUACAUAAGCUCGCGCUUCGAGAUGAGCCUGCGGCCCAUCAUGGUAGUUGGUAGGGUAAUGGCCUACCAAGCCGAAGACGGGUAGCUGGUCUGAGAGGAUGAUCAGCCACACUGGAACUGAGACACGGUCCAGACUCCUACGGGAGGCAGCAGUGGGGAAUCUUGCGCAAUGGGCGAAAGCCUGACGCAGCGACGCCGCGUGAGUGAUGAAGGCCUCGGUUGUAAG
rnacentral:rRNA from 1 species